rnacentral:rRNA from 1 species
UACGGGGGGGGCAAGCGUUGUUCGGAAUUACUGGGCGUAAAGGGCUCGUAGGCGGCCAACUAAGUCAGACGUGAAAUCCCUCGGCUUAACCGGGGAACGGCGUCUGAUACUGGAUGGCUUGAAUCCGGGAGAGGGAUGCGGAAUUCCAGGUGUAGCGGUGAAAUGCGUAGAUAUCUGGAGGAACACCGGUGGCGAAGGCGGCAUCCUGGACCGGCAUUGACGCUGAGGAGCGAAAGCCAGGGGAGCAAACGGG